ACGAACGCUGGCGGCGUGCUUAACACAUGCAAGUCGAACGAUGAAGCCCUUCGGGGUGGAUUAGUGGCGAACGGGUGAGUAACACGUGGGCAAUCUGCCCUUCACUCUGGGACAAGCCCUGGAAACGGGGUCUAAUACCGGAUAAUACUUUCCCUCUCAUGGGGGAAGGUUAAAAGCUCCGGCGGUGAAGGAUGAGCCCGCGGCCUAUCAGCUAGUUGGUGGGGUAAUGGCCUACCAAGGCGACGACGGGUAGCCG
rnacentral:rRNA from 2 species